UCGGCCGAAUCGCCUUGAGUUGAUAUGGCUCAGAACGAACGCUGGCGGCGCGCCUAACACAUGCAAGUCGAACGAGAAGCUGUAGCAAUACAGCUGUACAGUGGCGAACGGGUGAGUAACACGUGGGUGACCUACCCUCGAGUGGGGAAUAACCCGCCGAAAGGCGGGCUAAUGCCGCGUACGCUUCCAGGUUUGCGGAUCUGGAAGGAAAGCCGUAGCUAGGCUAUGGCGCUCAAGGAUGGGCUCACGUCCUAUCAGCUUGUUGGUAGGGUAAUGGCCUACCAAGGCUCCGACGGGUAGCUGGUCUGAGAGGACGAUCAGCCACACUGGCACUGCGACACGGGCCAGACUCCUACGGGAGGCAGCAGUGAGGAAUAUUGCGCAAUGGGCGAAAGCCUGACGCAGCGACGCCGCGUGGGGGAUGAAGGUCUUCGGAUUGUAAACCCCUUUCGGGAGGGAAGAUGGUCCUAGACAACUAGGACGGACGGUACCUCCAGAAGCAGCCACGGCUAACUUCGUGCCAGCAGCCGCGGUAAUACGAAGGUGGCAAGCGUUGUUCGGAUUUACUGGGCGUACAGGGAGCGUAGGUGGUUAGGUAAGCCUCUCGGGAAAUCUCCAGGCUCAACCUGGAAAGGUCGGGAGGGACUGCCUAGCUAGAGGACGGGAGAGGAGCGCGGAAUUCCCGGUGUAGCGGUGAAAUGCGUAGAGAUCGGGAGGAAGGCCGGUGGCGAANGCGGCGCUCUGGAAACGUCCUGAC
rnacentral:rRNA from 1 species